CCCAUUUUCGGCCAAGGUGAGCUCUCCGCCGUCCCUCAUUGAUUUUGAGACUCUUCCUUCGAAUCUUCAUGAUUUUCUUAUGAGUUUUCAUUUGGUUUGAAGAUAUUUGAGCAAAAGAGCAAGUUUUGAAGCUUGGAGACCAAAAAGGUGAUUUCUCCCCAUCUCCAAGCUAGGAUCGUCUUUUCUCUCGAUCUCCAAGAGGUAAGCUUAGAUCCGACCUUCCUUGUAUGUUUUAAACAAGUUUUA
rnacentral:lncRNA from 1 species